CCCUUAGAUGUUCUGGGCCGCACGCGCGCUACACUGACGAAGUCAGCGAGCAUCUCCUACGCCGAAAGGUGCGGGGAAUCUUGUGAAACUUUGUCGUGCUGGGGAUUGAUUUUUGAAAUCCUUGAUCAUCAACGAGGAAUUCCUAGUAAGCGCAAGUCAGCAGCUUGCGUUGAUUACGUCCCUGCCCUUUGUACACACCGCCCGUCGCUACUACCGAUUGAAUGGUUUAGUGAGAUUUUUGGACUGGAACUCUCUUGUUCAGCAAUGAACGAGAGGGACUCUGGGAAGCUAUUCUAACUGUAUCAUUUAGAGGAAGUAAAAGUCGUAACA
rnacentral:rRNA from 1 species